GUUCCGUAUAUCUAAAGAUGAUGCAGGAGCCAGAACUAGGGGCUGGAUAAUGGAGAAGCUUGCAUGCUAAACUUAUUACGAACUUUAUUUUGAAAGUAGUGGAACGUUAUUGGACCACUUCAAAAGCGGAGUGUUACGUUCAGGCUUGAAUUUUAGAAAUAUCUGUCUGGUAGCCAUGUGCAGGUUGGUUGGAAAGGGAGGCAUCAGACAGGAGACGAAUGAGAAAGCUGUUGCAGUCAUCUGGGACCCCUAUUUGUGACCAAUUGUAAGAUCAUCUGAAGAUCGAGUCCGAUUGCCUGGCCAGGCCGGGCUGGGUGGUAUGUGCCCCCGUCACGCCGGAGGUUCCUGCUUUAGCGACGCCAAAGAUUGGGUGUGAGGGCAGCCCGCGGUGACAGAGACACGGAUCGGACCGAGAGAAAAAGGCUGUGGGCUUCACUGAGCAGAGUGACGAAGUAUUCAGGCCCUCAGGAGCGGUAACUAAAAUGGAGAAGCUGCGCUGAAAGGUGCCGUGGGCAAGUCAAAAUUAAAAUCAAUUCACAGGACCUCCACAGUGUGCCUUUUGCUGGGUAGGAAAAUGCCAGCCAGCUUGGAAAACAAGAAGACACAUUUAUGUCUACCAUGAGCAUUGGCAUCAGCCAAUUAUCCCACACGUUUUCGGCUAGUCAGUGCUGAAGAGAGCAAGAAUUUCAACCCUUCUUGCUACAUUCAAGACAUAGAAAUCCAGCCAGAAGACAACUCGAGAUAUUUUGUGGAUCUAUGCCUUUCCUUCAGAAAAGCAAAUAUCUACCAUAAAAAAACACUGGUCCAAUAUUCACUUCUAUAAGAAAUGCAGGGGCAAAUAAAUUAUGGAUUUUAUUAUCGCUAAUAGAGUCACUUAACCAUUACUCCUUACUACAUUCUGCUUUUCUAACAAAAUUUCGACUGAAUAUUCUCCCUCAGAGCCUCCAAAAGGAACCAACUGAUGACAACUGAUUUUGGACUUCUG
rnacentral:lncRNA from 10 species